AGUGAACAUAUUUGUUGUGGUGCCGCCUAUCGGAAACGGGCGGUGAAAAGGGAAUACGGUGAAAAUCCGUAACGUUGGACCGGCGCUGUAAGCAGGGACCGGUGCUGUGAAAGGCCACUGCCGUAAAAAGGCGGGAAGGCGCGGCACAGGGAUGAUCUGCAAGUCAGAAGACCUGCCAGAGCAAAUCAUCGGAA
rnacentral:ncRNA from 2 species